GACGAACGCUGGCGGCGCGCUUAACACAUGCAAGUCGAGCGAAGCGGCGGACGGGUGAGUAACCCGUGAGUAACCUGCCUUAGACAAUGGGAUAGCCUCGGGAAACCGGGAUUAAUACCACAUGGUCUAAGAUGGACUCGGGUCCCAUUAGCUAGUUGGUGGGUAACGGCCCACCAAUGCGACGAUGGGUAGCCGGCCUGAGAGGGGGAACGGCCACACUGGAACUGAGAAACGGUCCAAACUCUACGGGGGGCAGCAGGGGGGAAUAUUGCACAAUGGGGGAAACCCUGAUGCAGCAACGCCGCGUGCGGGAUGACGGCCUUCGGGUGGUAAACCGCUUUCAGCCAUGACGCGGUAGUGGCAGAAGAAGCACCGGCUAACUACGUGCCAGCAGCCGCGGUAAUAC
rnacentral:rRNA from 1 species